GACAAUGCGGCUCUCUGUAAGGCAGAUGGGUUCUUGGCAUAACUUCCGGACUGAGGCGUUACUACAAGGGUGACGGGUAGACGAGGCUCGCUUUGUCUAGGAAGGCAGCUCGCUUCUGUAGCUUGGAGAGAGCAAACCGGAAGUACGUCACAAUAUGGAAGUGUCCCAUAAGACCUUGAGAGAGUCCAUAUACACUGUCACCUUAGCAUCAUUCAGUGCUUUGCCCCAACAAAUGAAGCAGAAGAAAAAGAAAAAAAAGAACCUCCAUACACCAGACAGAAGGAAAAGAAACUAGAGUAACUACACCUGCGUGAGAGAAUUCAAGAGAAAAUGUGAGAAAUUGAAGAAAGAAGAUGCUGUUUCAGACCACCAUCUGCUAAUGGAAAAAGUGAAACUUAAAUAAUGAAACAAAACAAAAGUAGGGAAACGCUUCAACACCAUCGAUUCUAGCAAACAACAAAGGUACAGACUUCCAGCCGGAGCAAUAUUUUACAUCUGCAUGUGAAACAUCAAUCGGAGUGUAAAAAUGAAAACAUCAAUAAUGGAUCGCUCCAAAGACACUUUAAAAAAAAACAGAGAAAGAAACCAACAGAAAAACAAGAGAAUCAAAUGAAACAGCUUCAGAGGCCUUUAACAGAACUAUAACAAAGUAGUCAUGCAAAGUACAUUGAAAAACAAAAUAAACUUUACAAGCAAGUCUAGCCACAGAAGAUCGAAUCAGCAAGGCAGAACAAUUUCAAAGCUGUGUAUGAUUAGAUCCCACCUCAUUAGAAAACACAUGAAAGCUUGGGGGUCGAUCAAUAAAAAGAAAAGCGAGAAAGACUCUAAAUACCCGGAGUCACAGUUUUAAUAAUUUACAUUCUAAAAUAUCAGAAUCACUAUUAGCUGAAAGUCAAUCAGGAAAGAAAAAUGGUUAUAUCAAAAUAAUAUAGUUAGCUGCAAUAUUCAAUUAAUAUAUAUUCAUAUUAUUUAUAACAAAGAAAUCACUUUAUAAAUAAAUGCCAAGGCGACCAUCUAUAUUAGUAUAUAUCGUAAUGGAAAACUUAUGGUUCAGAUUAUAACGCUGAAUCUGAAUUUAAUUUUCAAACCUUAGAAGGGAUGUUUGGUGGGGAUUGCUGAGUAUAGGCCUUUUGACCCUCUUGCAAAAUAUGUAGAAAUCCGUUCCACACUUCAUACUUGAAAUAAUGUUCGCUAAACCAAAACCUACUCUGAGUUACCGUAAGGCCACUCAUACCACUAUUCCACAAUUUGUUUUUUUUUUCUUUUCAUUAGAACAGAAUACUUAGGCCUCAAUGUAAAGCGAUCUGAGAGUGGUUUGGAAAAACAUAUUGAAACAUUUUAUCCAUUACUGAAUUGAUAACAGCCUUUAAAUCCGCAGACUUCAAUACUAGUAAACAGUAUGCUACAAUUUCUGUGGAACAUCAUUCAUCCCAGAUUUAUCAUGUUUUUGGUGUAAAGUAAUUCAAAUAUGUAAUUUAACAUUGCAUAGUCAUCAGUUUUCUCUUUGUCCCACAUGUACUGUAGGAUUCAUUGAUCGCUGUUGACGUUCAAUUAAUGACGAAUGUAUUUGUCAAAUGUAAUAUUAGCUUUUCUUUUUAACCAUUCCACUAAUAUUGACAAAAAUGGUAUUAUGUAUAAAGAAAUGUUUUAUUGUUUGCAGAAUCUUUUUCUAAGAGCACAAAAACUUUUCAAGAAUAAUAUAUGUUGAUGAAG